GCAGCCUGAUCCAGCCAUGCCGCGUGCAGGAUGACGGUCCUAUGGAUUGUAAACUGCUUUUGCACAGGAAGAAACAACAUUACGUGUAAUGUCUUGACGGUACUGUGAGAAUAAGGAUCGGCUAACUCCGUGCCAGCAGCCGCGGUAAUACGGAGGAUCCAAGCGUUAUCCGGAAUCAUUGGGUUUAAAGGGUCCGUAGGCGGUUUAGUAAGUCAGUGGUGAAAGCCCAUCGCUCAACGGUGGAACGGCCAUUGAUACUGCUAGACUUGAAUUAUUAGGAAGUAACUAGAAUAUGUAGUGUAGCGGUGAAAUGCUUAGAGAUUACAUGGAAUACCAAUUGCGAAGGCAGGUUACUACUAAUUGAUUGACGCUGAUGGACGAAAGCGUGGGUAGCGAACAGGAUUAGAUACCCUGGUAGUCCACGCCGUAAACGAUGGAUACUAGCUGUUGGGAGCGAUCUCAGUGGCUAAGCGAAAGUGAUAAGUAUCCCACCUGGGGAGUACGUUCGCAAGAAUGAAACUCAAAGGAAUUGACGGGGGCCCGCACAAGCGGUGGAGCAUGUGGUUUAAUUCGAUGAUACGCGAGGAACCUUACCAAGGCUUAAAUGUAGAUUGACCGGUUUG
rnacentral:rRNA from 1 species